UGGGCGUGGUGGCGCAUGCCUGUAAUCUCAGCUCCUCGGGAGGCUGAGGGAGGAGAAUCGCUUGAACCGGGAGGCGGAAAUUGCAGUGGGCCGAGAUUGCGCCUCUGCACUCCAGUCUGGGAGACAGAGUGAGACCCUGUCUCAAAAAAAAAAGGAAAAAGAUGUGGCUUAAAGGUGCCUUACAUAUCAGCGGUAUGGCAUAGUUUCAUUGGCAGCCUUUGUUUUCUUUCUUGGGUAACAUAAAACAAUGUAAGUCUAAUGCGUUCUUUUUUCUGUUUCGCUAAAGCUUUCACCAAGCCUAAGGCUGGAGAGGGGUCCUAACUGAGCCCUGACCAGACCAGGGAGCCCUACUAUGCAAUCUCCUCAGGUUAGGAAGGGCCCGGUACGACCGGCCCAGAAGGCCUGGCCGAUCAACAGGCGCCGGGCCGACGGUGGUGGGCUCGCUUCCUGAGGCUGCCCUUGGUCAUGCGGAAGGGGACUGGCUGGCGAUAACACCCUGGCGAAGCAAGGUGGACAGUGACUCCCGCCCGGUUCGAGCCCGCCUANNNNNNNNNNNNNNNNNNNNNNNNNNNNNNNNNNNNNNNNNNNNNNNNNNNNNNNNNNNGGUCGGAUGCGGUGACUCACGCCUGUGAUCCCAGCACUUUGAGAGGCCGAGGCGGGCAGAUCACAAAGUCAGGAGUUCGAGACCAGCCUGGCCAAAAUGGUGAAACCCCAUCUCUACUAAAAAUACAAAAAUUAGCCAGGCGUGGUGGCACGUGCCUGUAAUCCCAGCUACUCGGGAGCCUGACGCAGAAGAAUCGCUUGAACCCAGGAGACAGUGGUUGCAGUGAGCUGAGAUCGCACCAUUGCACUACAGCCUGGGCGACCGAGCGAGACUGUCUCAAACAAACAACAACAAAAAGAGGUCCUUUGCAUUAGUUCUUCAGAUUGGAUUCUCUAUUUGCAUUUUAAAAAGAGGAGGUAGAAUACGGCAGAGCACAUACAGGACACCGAUAUGGAAGGCAUCAGUCCUCGUGCGGCUCCUGGAUUAACCACGCUUUCUGGUUUCUGUGUUCUAUGGCGCUUUGGCAUCGCAGGAGGCUUUGCUGGUGGGGAAGGGACUGCCCCUCCCAGGGCUGGCUAGUUCUGGAGACAGCACACACCUCCCUAUGCAAACCAGCAGUCAGAAGCCCCUGCCCCCACCACACCCUUUAUCUAACUCACACACCCAGGGAAUAUUCUCCCUGCCCCAUCUCACUCCAGAGCAUGGUACUGGAUGACUAGGGACCACCCCAUAGCCCCGGGCCUGCCAACAUUAGGCAAACGGGCCCACCCGAAGUUUGCUCAAACUCACCUCCACCCUCAUCUAUUCCUUCCCACAGAGACCCCAGUGAAGGCCUGGCCUGGGCCCUCCCCUUGCUCCUUCUGCCUCGGGACUGACCUGGUGCUUCCCCAUGCUGGAAAGUCAUCAACUCUUCAUUCAAAGGCAGUGUCUCCCAGGCUGUCAUCUGACCAGAGCUGAGGAAAACAAAGUCCCAGGUGCAUUUCAUGACAGCCCCUCCUCUGCCUUCCUGGUCUGUACGCUCCUCUGCCCUAGGAGGUAACCAUUGUUCUCAUUUCCACAUAACAGUUUUGCCUACUCUUGCCCUUUACAUAAAAGGAACCUUUCAGUACAUUCCCUUUUGUGUCUGGCCUCUUUUCCCCAGCGUGAGCGUCACCACGCUGCUGAGAUUGUUCUCUGCUGUGUGUGUGUAGUUCUCCUUCGGAUGCACAGGCCACAGUUCACUUACUCAUUUACUGAUGAGCGUUUGGGGUUUUGACUAUUAGGAAUAAAGUUAUGAUGAACAUUCUUCAAUGUGUUCGUUAUUGGAGAGAAGUGAAACCGGCCCAGUUGCCCCAUAGAACUGAUGUUUAUGGUUUCUUUGGAUAAACAGUCUCACAAGAUCAGAUCCUCCUUGUCUUAUCUGAGUUCCUUUCCCAAGAAACCACCUAUCAGGCCUCCCAGAUAGAAUAAAAAAAAAACUC
rnacentral:lncRNA from 1 species